GGCUAAAACAUGAUGGGACACUCUUUUUUGAGGCCCAGCAGCGGCCCAUCUCAGCACUAGAAUUAGAAUAAUCCAAUGGCGGGAACUCAAAGACGCUGAGAAAUUCAUCACAGGCUCUCGUAGCCGCCAAGAAAAAGCCACCAAUAUCGGCAUUCCAUUGCCCAAUUGAAUUGUUCAUGGCGCCGGACGGAGUACCAGGUAGCGGCUCCUUCGUCAGUGUUGCCAUUUUUCCUCAUCUGGAAGCUCAUCUUCUAUGCGGAGAGCCAAGACAGAGGCAGAGAUAAGCGAAUAGAGGCCGAACCAGUCUCUGAACCGAUCGAUGAGGGAGGGAGAUGAGAGAUGUUUCAAGGAACGAUCGUUUUAUCGGCUCAGAAGCUCGAAGACUGUCUGAGGUUGCAGGUGUAGAAAUAAAAGGUUAAACCUUGUUGAUGCUGGAAGAAUUUUCUGGAGCUUUAAGCAUGGAUAUCUCCCUCUCUAACCCCAUCUCCACACUGCUAUUAAUCUAAAUCACGGUGUACUACCUUUAUUUUCCUUUGUUAUCUUCUUGAGCCUGAAAUUUGUGUUCCUUGCAUCCCUUUCUUUUUAAUAUCACAAAAACCUUAACAAACCCAAGCCAGUUGCAUGAGCCUGCCACUGUGUAUAAGGUUUUCAUGGACCUACAUAAAAAAGAAAAAGUAUACGAUCAUCUAUCCAGGUCUCGAAAGACUAAAAUGUAACCAAUUUGAACUAGAUUAUAUGUAUACUUCGCUUGUGACCUUAGAAUCUGAGUGCGAAGAAUAUGGCAUUACUCUGAUUCCACCAAUUGAUUUCAUAUGUGAAGAGGCUCCAAAGUCCUAUGAAAUCAAGACCAGCCGGGCUUAUUUGUAUGGUAUAUCGAAAGAAUUCGCAAAUGGAUAUAUAUCUCCAAAUCCGUCGACCACAAAAAUGCAGUAAAUGGAUGGGGAAAGGUGAAAGAAUAGCUGUUCCAUCCUGCACCAUUUGGGUCAAACCCCAGAAGUCUAUUCUGCAUUUAAUGAGAAAAGAAAUGGGACUACGGUUGGUGCAAUCAAGGCGACUCGAACUCUUUGAGAUGCCGACAACAACCUGUUUUACAUCCCAGUAUGUUACGAGUAAGGUGUGAAACCGACCAUUUGAGAGAAAAUUGCAGAAAAGAAACUGAGAAUUUUCAGAACUUGUGAGUGAUGAUAAUCUCUGCUUUGCUUUAUAACUUCAAAGGUACGAGAUAUUUGAUUCAAUCUAAGUCUAGUAUUCUCAUUAACUCGUAGUUUAAAGUGAAAGGUGUUUAGGAUUGUUGGAAAUGAGUGUCAUGUUGGCUAAUUCAAUAGGAAGCCUUUUGGAGAAAUAAAAAACUAAAGUCGCUAAAAAGUAGGCAAUAUCAUGCUAUGGUAGAGUAUCGUGUUUCUGCAU